rnacentral:tRNA from 1 species
GCCCGGGUGGUGGAAUGGUAUACACGACGGUCUCAAAAACCGUUGGUCGCAAGAUCUUGUGGGUUCGAAUCUCACUCCGGGCA